rnacentral:sRNA from 1 species
UGUGUCUUUCUUAGGAGAUUUCGUACCAUGUUAAUCAUUAUGGAAACACUACUUAAGAGAAUAUGGCGGAAAUAUGUUUGGGUUUUUAAAAAUAUCUUUCUUACAGACUAAUAUUGUCUGUGGACCUUUCUACAUUUGUUUGUUUGUUUUUGAAACAGUUUUGUCACCCAGGCUGGAGUGCAGUGGUGCGAUAUCGGCUCACUGCAGCCUCCUCCUCCCGGGUUCAAGCGAUUCUCAUGCCUCAGCCUCUUGAGUAGCUGGGACUACAGGUGCGCACCACCAUGCCCAACUAAUUUUUUGUAUUUUUAGUAGAGACGAGGUUUCACCAUGUUGGCAAGGCUGGUCUUGAACCCCUGGCCUCAGGUGAUCUGAGCCUCCCAAAGUGCUGAAAUUACAGGCGUGAGCCACCCCACCUGGCCCCUUUCUACAUUUUCUAAGUUCCUAUCUCUGAGGACAAAGGGUCAGGAGCUUAGAAAACGUAGAAAGGUUCUGCAGACAUGAUCCUAGUUAUGCCAGUGUUUCCACCCUGUGUUUUGCAGGUCAGAGAUGAGCAGCACCAGUGUUCCCUGGGGAACCUGAAGGUCCCCCUCAGCCAGCUGCUCACCAGUGAGGACAUGACCGUGAGCCAGCGCUUCCAGCUCAGUAACUCGGGUCCAAACAGCACCAUCAAGAUGAAGAUUGCACUGCGGGUACUCCAUCUCGAAAAGCGAGAAAGGCCUCCAGAUCACCAACACUCAGCUCAAGUCAAACGUCCUUCUGUGUCCAAAGAGGGGAGGAAAACAUCCAUCAAAUCUCAUAUGUCUGGGUCUCCAGGCCCUGGCGGCAGCAACACAGCUCCAUCCACACCAGUCAUUGGGGGCAGUGAUAAGGCUGGUAUGGAAGAAAAGGCCCAGCCCCCUGAGGCCGGCCCUCAGGGGCUGCACGACCUGGGCAGAAGCUCCUCCAGCCUCCUGGCCUCCCCAGGCCAUAUCUUGGUCAAGGAGCCCACCCCCAGCAUCGCCUCGGACAUCUCACUGCCCAUUGCCACCCAGGAGCUGCGGCAAAGGCUGAGGCAGCUGGAAAACGGGACGACCCUGGGACAGUCUCCACUGGGGCAGAUCCAGCUGACCAUCCGGCACAGCUCGCAGAGAAACAAGCUUAUCGUGGUCGUGCAUGCCUGCAGAAACCUCAUUGCCUUCUCUGAAGACGGCUCUGACCCCUAUGUCCGCGUGUAUUUAUUACCAGACAAGAGGCGAUCAGGAAGGAGGAAAACCCACGUGUCAAAGAAAACAUUAAAUCCAGUGUUUGACCAAAGCUUUGAUUUCAGUGUUUCGUUACCAGAGGUGCAGAGGAGAACACUCGACGUUGCCGUGAAGAACAGCGGCGGCUUCCUGUCCAAAGACAAAGGGCUCCUUGGCAAAGUGUUGGUUGCUCUGGCAUCUGAAGAACUUGCCAAAGGCUGGACCCAGUGGUAUGACCUCACGGAAGACGGGACGAGGCCUCAGGCGAUGACAUAGCCGCACCAGGCAGGAGGGGUGCUCUUCAGCGUAGCUCUCCACCUCUACCCAGAACACACCCUCUCACAGACGUACCAAUGUUAUUUUUAUAAUUUCAUGGAUUUAGUUAUACAUACCUUAAAAGUUUUAUAAAAUUGUUGACAUUUUAGGCAAAUUUGGCCAAUAUUAUCAUUAAAUUUUCUAUGUUGGAUUUCCUCUAGGAUUUUGCCAGUUCCUACAACGUGCAAUAGGGUGGCGGUAGCUCUUGUGUCUGUGGACUCUGCUCAGCUGUGUCCGUAGGAGUCGGAUGUGUCUGUGCUUUAUUAUGGCCUUGUUUAUAUAUCACUGAGGUAUACUAUGCCAUGUAAAUAGACUCUAUUUUUUAUAAUCUUUACAUGCUGGUUUAAAUUCAGAAGGAAAUAGAUCAAGGAAAUAUAUAUAUUUUCUUCUAAAACUUAUUAAAUUCUUGUGACAAAUAAUCAUUUUCAUCUUUGCAGCAAAAAGUUCUCAGUGACCUAUUUUGUGGUGUUUCUUUUUGAAAAGAAAAGCUGAAAGAUUAUUAAAUGUUAGUAUGUUUCUGCCCAUUAUGAAAGAUGAAAUAAAGUAUUCAAAAUAUU